rnacentral:rRNA from 1 species
AACGGCAGCUAUGGCGGAGGUGAUACACCGGUACCCAUACCGAACACAUUGGUUAAGACCUCCUGCGCCGAUGGUACUCGGGCUUAAACCCCGGGAAGAGUAGGUCGCUGCCGAAA